GACAGAGGGUGCAAACGUUGCUCGGAAUCACUGGGCAUAAAGCGCACGUAGGCCGUUCACUAAGUCCGAUGUGAAAUCCCCGGGCUCAACCUGGGAACUGCAUCCGAAACUGCCUUGCUAGAGUAUGGGAGAGGGAAGUGGAAUUUCCGGUGUAGCGGUGAAAUGCGUAGAUAUCGGAAGGAACAUCAGUGGCGAAGGCGACUUCCUGGACCAAUACUGACGCUCAGGUGCGAAAGCGUGGGAGCAAACAGG
rnacentral:rRNA from 1 species